rnacentral:lncRNA from 1 species
UGUUUAAAGACGUGUUGAAUAUCUGAAAAUCUCAACAUGAGUAAUCCACAACAACAUCAGGUUAGGAAUAACGGAUCCGCUUGCCACUGCAUAAAAACAAAUUACAUCAGGUUCUGCAAGCUUGGCACCCUAAAUAUUAAACUGAACUUAGGAUGCAUGCCAUCUUUCUAUAUUAAAUGCACAAGACCUACAAAAGUGGGAAAUGUGCCAAAGUUGAUGCUUACAGGUUUAAAACUGGAAGUGCACUUCAUUUAGCAUUCCUAUUCAACUCAAAAUCAUGCAUGUACCAGCAGUCCCCACCCUGGUCCAGGGGAAGAAAAAAAAGAAAGAAAGACAGAAGAUAAAAAAGCAUAUCGGAAACACACUUAAUACAAUGGCCUUAAAUUCUGUUGGAAUUUGCCAGUAGCACAAAAUAUCACCACCAAACCACUAAAAGUCCAAUAACUCAAGAGUGCAUUGGUACCGACCCACUUUUCCCAGUGGAGUUUGGUCUAGACUAUUCAUUUAAAGCUGAAAAAAUCUUGUUUAUUGCAGAAUAUGCAGACAAGUAUAUGCAAUGCGUCUAAGUGUUCCCUCUAGAGAUUUUAUUUGGCAACACUCAGAUUGGGCAAAUUUACAGCAUCAUGGGUAGUGUAGUAAUCCAUAAGGAACUCCACUUUGAAACAAUUCUUUAAAAACCAGAGUUUGUAAGAGGUCUAUCUUUAGUGUUACGUUAGCCCCCCCAUUAAAUUUUUCCCCUUCCAGACCCUGAAAGGCUACUGUACAAAUACCAGUUUCCCCAAACUGAAAGCAUGUUUUCAGGUCAAAACUGGUUGACAAUCUACACAAGGAAAAACAAACCAGAAACAAGGGUAGGUUUCACAAAUUCACUGAAAACCAGUUAAAGUCUUCCGUCGCUCUUGAACCAUUAUGGGACCAAGUGAAGCCUUGCCUUUCCACUGAACACCUAGAGGGGAAGAGAGGGAAUGAAAAAACAAAGUCCCUGAACACCCACGUUAAAGGGUUAGUUCACCCAAAAAUGAACAUCAGACAAAUCCAGUCGGAGUUAUAUUAAAAAAAAUGUGUUCAAUGGUCCAAAAGAAGUCAAAGUGCAUCAGUCCAUAUUAAAACGUUCCUCACACGGCUCUGGGGGGGUAAACAAAGUCCUCCUGUAGUGAACUGAUAAAUUUUUUGUAAAAAAAAAAAAAAAAUAUAAUAAUAAUAAAAAAAAUACCAUAUUUAAAAUGAUAUAAACAGUUUUUUUGAAAUUUUAGUUUAAAUAAAAAAAAAAAAUAAAUAAAUAAUAAUAAAAAAAAUCCAUAUUUAAAAUGAUAUAAACAGUUUUUUUUGUAACUUCUGCUGUAAACAGUCCAUAAUGUACUUAAAGUGCUCCAUUUUCACGCACUAUUUUUGCACAUAAUAUACAAAAAAUUAUUCUUUAGUAUUUCUUAAGAUAAUCUUAAGAACAUCUAAGUGUACUCAAAUGUGCUUUUUUGGGAAGCCAUGCAUAUUAACUAAAAUGUGCAUUUAACAUACUUUCUCUGUAUUAUUAUUAUUAUUUUUAUUUAGUUACCACUUGUAGUGCAAUUGAAACCAUCUUUCAUGCACUUUUAAAUAUACUUUUCAUACAUAGAAAAUACACUUAUUUAAAAUAUAAGAAUAUAUCAUGAAUAUAUUAUAAAUGUAUUGCCCACAUAUACGUUCCUCACACGGCUCUGGGGGGUAAACAAAGUCCUCCUGUAGUGAACUGAUAAAUUUUUAGUAAAAAAAAAAAAAUAAAUAAUAAUAAUAAAAAAAUACCAUAUUUAAAAUGAUAUAAACAGUUUUUUUGUAACUUCUGCUGUAAACAGUCCAUAAUGUACUUAAAGUGCUCCAUUUUCACGCACUAUUUUUGCACAUAAUAUACAAAAAAUUAUUCUUUAGUAUUUCUUAAGAUAAUCUUAAGAACAUCUAAGUGUACUCAAAUGUGCUUUUUUGGGAAGCCAUGCAUAUUAACUAAAAUGUGCAUUUAACAUACUUUCUCUGUAUUAUUAUUAUUAUUUUUAUUUAGUUACCACUUGUAGUGCAAUUGAAACCAUCUUUCAUGCACUUUUUAAAUUAUACUUUUUCUAUACAUAGAAAAUAACACUUAUUUAAAAUAAUAAGAAUAUAUCAUGAUAUAUUAUAAAUAGUAUUGUCCCACCAUAUUUUAAUUAAGCGAAAAAAAAUAAAAAUAAAAAUAAAAAAAUAAUAAAUAAAAACUCAGUAAAAUAUAUUAAGUACACUUAGUACACUUCCAUAAUGUACUUGCAACCUGGAGAGCGUGA